rnacentral:rRNA from 1 species
AGGAUAAACGCUGGCGGCGUGCAUGAGACAUGCAAGUCGAACGAACGAGCUUGCUCGUUAGUGGCAAACGGCCGAGUAACGCGUAGGUGACCUGCCCUGAAGUGGGGGAUAACGGCCCGAAAGGGUUGCUAAUACCGCAUGUGGCGACAUCUUCAUUGAUGUCAUCAAAGCCGCGAGGCGCUUCAGGAGGGGCCUGCGUCCGAUUAGCUCGUUGGUGGGGUAACGGCUCACCAAGGCGACGAUCGGUAGGUGGUCUGAGAGGACGAUCACCCAGACUGGGACUGAGACACGGCCCAGACUCCUACGGGAGGCAGCAGUGGGGAAUUUUCCGCAAUGGGCGAAAGCCUGACGGAGCAAGACCGCGUGGGGGAAGAAGGCUCUUGGGUUGUAAACCCCUUUUCUCUGGGAAGAAGUUGUGAAGCAGCCUGACGGUACAGAGGAAUCAGCAUCGGCUAACGUCCGUGCCAGCGAGCCGC